rnacentral:rRNA from 1 species
GCGAGCGUUGUCCGGAAUUAUUGGGCGUAAAGAGCUCGUAGGCGGUGUGUCGCGUCGGCCGUGAAAACCUGCAGCUUAACUGUGGGCUUGCGGUCGAUACGGGCAUCACUGGAGUUCGGCAGGGGAGACUGGAAUUCCUGGUGUAGCGGUGAAAUGCGCAGAUAUCAGGAGGAACACCGGUGGCGAAGGCGGGUCUCUGGGCCGAUACUGACGCUGAGGAGCGAAAGCGUGGGGAGCGAACAGG